AACAAAACUAAAUCAUAUUUUUUAUUCAAUCAUUUAACAUUCAUGACUGUGUACCUAUCUUUAUAAAAGUCCUUUAAUGUGAAACAUGUACAUGUGCAUGUCAUAUACAUUUUUGUACAAACAUAAAUACAAACAUAUUAUAAAAUACAGGACAUCAUGUAAGAAGCUGUUUCUUAAGAUUUCUUUCUGUAUGUGAACUUUUCUUAUAUUUUAAUCUCCUAAUCAUCAUAAUCACCAUCCAGAUUUUUUGUUUCAUUCUCCCUUGUUUGAUAUAUCACCAUGGUGACACAUUUCAAGCAUUGUCGUGAUCCUUGGUAGGGCUUGUACCACAUUGUACCAUGUAACAAUUUGCUGAGUGUACUCAUUUUAAAAAAGGCCCAAAAAAUAUAUACACUUGCAAUUGCUUUCUGGCAGUUGGGUAGGUUGGUAGGUUGGUAAAAACAAAUAUAUUUCUAUAUUACCUGGUUACAUAGACUGUCUUGGGAAAUGUUCUGUAAUUUAAGGAUGCUUGACUUUAAAUGUCUGGACACAAAUGGUGUAUAACUUAAAAUUUACAUAAAAUGUGUAAGGGAGGGCAGGCAUUACAAUUAAUUAGGUUUGUUCAGGUGGCAGGUUACAUUAACACUUCAGUCAUAUAUUUUUUUGUUUGCCUUUAAGAUUGUAUGAAAAUUUUAUUGAUACAUGUACCAUAUAUAAAUUUACAGAGAAUUUAUUUUUAUGUGUGAAGUUUUUUAUGUAAGUACUGUGUUCCCAGAACUGAUGUGUA
rnacentral:lncRNA from 1 species